GCUGGGUGUGGUGGCGGGCACCUGUAAUCCCAGCUACUCAGGAGGCUGAGAUAGGAGAAUUGCUUGAACUCAGGAGGUGGAGGUUGCAGUGAGCCAAGAUUGCACCACUGCACUCCAGCCUGGGGGACAGAGCAAGACUCUAUCUCAA
rnacentral:sRNA from 1 species